AUUGAACGCUGGCGGCAUGCUUUACACAUGCAAGUCGAACGGUAACAGGGUGCUUGCACCGCUGACGAGUGGCGAACGGGUGAGUAAUGCGUCGGAACGUGCCGAGUAGUGGGGGAUAACGCAGCGAAAGUUGUGCUAAUACCGCAUACGUACUGAGGUAGAAAGUGGGGGACCUUCGGGCCUCACGCUAUUCGAGCGGCCGACGUCUGAUUAGCUAGUAGGUGAGGUAAAGGCUCACGUAGGCGACGAUCAGUAGCGGGUCUGAGAGGAUGAUACGGCACACUGGGUCGGAGACACGGCCCAGACUCCUACGGGAAGCAGCAGUGGGGGAUUUUGGAGAAUGGGCGAAAGCCUGAUCCAGCCAUGCCGCGUGUCUGAAGAAGGCCUUCGGGUUGUAAAGGACUUUUGUCAGGGAGGAAAUCCCUAGUGCUAAUAACACUGGGGGAUGACAGUACCUGAAGAAUAAGCACCGGCUAACCACGUGCCAGCAGCCGCAGUAA
rnacentral:rRNA from 1 species